CCGUGCAGCUUGGCCUCACCUGCACCUGCUGCACAGCUGGGGAACGCGCCCCUCUCAGCCUGCCUCUGACUACACAGAAGCCCUGGGGAAUUUAGAACUUUCCUGCAACAGUGCAGUGAACUAAAUAAACUAGAAGGGGUCCCAAGGUUCUCCCCAAAGCCGGGGGGUUCUCACAGGCAGGUGCCUGGCUGUCUGGGGUUUUGCUGGGCAUAAACCAUCAAUGAGACGGAUCUGGGGCUGGAAUGGCCCUGCGCAGGGUCACAGGUGUGGGGCAGGUGCCGGAAGGCGGCCAGGAGCAGAACGAAGUGCUGGGGAGAGGGAUCCAGCAGACCCCCAGGACUGGCCGAGGGGGCGGCACCUUCUUCGGGGCGGGGGAUACCCUAGUCAGCGUGGCCCCUGCCGUCUCAGAGUCUCCGCGGGAAUAGGGAGAAGUGGGGCACAUGCUACAAUUACACCACUAACUCAAGUUACCCUUCACAACCUGGGACAGGAAACUCUGGCCUGCUGCGUUGGAUGACACACAGGACAAAGGACAAAAACGGCGCCCCUGGGUUCGAGACCGCGAAGAGAGAGAUAAUAAACUGCUCAGAUAGGAGAGAGAUCCAAAUUUCCACCAAAAAGGCAGAGUUCCCUGAAAAUAAUACAAAACGGAAGCCGCCGGUAACAGUUCACCCCACACCUGGUUACUGAGCGCUGCUUGGUGCCCAGCAGAGUGUCAGGUGCAGGCUAAAUGGAGCAGAGGAGGCAUGCUGGUGAAACCAGACCCUGAUGUGGGUUGCUGACGGGCUGAGACAGGUGCCCUGCUUAUCAGAGGCACAGGUGAAAAGAAGUCUCCGACGGAGAGGGAGAAGGGACUGGAACUCAAGAUUCCAGACACAGAGGACUACAAGAUCGAACUUUUCAAUUUAGUUCCACAUUUGUUGAGAAAGCGUACUAGAGUCAGACAUUGGGGGUGCAAACUAGGUGCAGCAGGAUGUGGGCGCUUGGGGAAAUUAGCAAAGGCAGAGCUCACUGGCAGCCUGGGGCCUAAAGGGCGAGCAGGGGAGGGGGAGCCCUAGUCCCCAAAUGUCAAUUACUGAUGCGGACAGAAAAAGACACAAGGAGGGAAGAAUCAUCAAUUACAGGCCCUCACAGGGAAAGAUACACGUUGACUCUCCUACAAGAGAGGGCCCACCCCUGCGACUCCGUGGGUGAGAAACCUUAUCACCCUGACCUCUUGCCUUUCUCCAGGGGUCUUUGCUUCACAUCAGCUCUCCCAGCUCCCUCCUGCUCUGCAAAAUCAUGCUCCCCAUCCUGUGUGUGUUGGGCUUGCCUAUGUUUUUUCCAUAGUUUGCAUGUCCUGAGUUGCAGUUCUCUGUUAUUCCUGAAUAAAUCCACUUUUGCUGGUGUAAUUACUGUUUUAUGUUUAAGGUUAACACCCUGAAGGAAAUAAGCAUGUUUAUUUUAUUUUAUGUGCUGUGAAAACCAAGGUCAAACGUGUCACCCAUUGUUACAGGGCCUGAACUGGGGUGAACUGGGGAGAGCCUAGCCCAGAUCAAUGUGCUCAUAGUUAACAUGGCAGCAUACACUUAAAAAUUUAUUAAGAGGGCAGAUCUUGGGGUCACUGUUCCCACAGCCAGAUAACAUUUCUAAAAAUCUAAGCCAGCCCCGCAUCUCUCUCUGUUCCCUCUUGGGUUUUGUGGCUCCUCAAAGCCCCUCGUGC